rnacentral:rRNA from 11 species
UUCAAAGACCUAAAGACUGUAAAGGCACCAGAUUCCGUCUGAUCAUGGAAGCUAAGUAAGGUCAGAUUUGAUUAUUACUUGGAUGGGAAACCAUCAAUGGAUGCCAAGUGCUGUAGGAU